ACCGCGGUAGCCCAGUUGGUAGGGGCGUCGGCAGUACAAAUGCUGAAAGUCACAGGUUCUAAUCCUUCCUGCGGUG